AUCUUUUUUCAAUCUGUUUAUCUUGUCCUCUCUAAUAUGGCUAAGGCUAUGGUAUCAUAAGUUCUUAUUAUUAAACUUGUCUCUGGAUCUUUUUUAGCUUACGGCAUUCAUUAUUUACUUAUUUAAGUUCACAUUAAUAUCAACAUGCAAGUGAUAAAGACCGUCAAUCAAAAGAUCAGAUGCAAGUAAUUUAUUUCAUAAAUAAAUGAAAUAAAAGUCUUUAUUAAAUUAAAAAAUAUAUCCAUCCUGUGCUAG
rnacentral:lncRNA from 1 species